GACGAACGCUGGCGGCAGGCUUAACACAUGCAAGUUGAACGCCCCGCAAGGGGAGUGGCAGACGGGUGAGUAACGCGUGGGAAUCUACCCAUCUCUGCGGAAUAGCUCCGGGAAACUGGAAUUAAUACCGCAUACGCCCUACGGGGGAAAGAUUUAUCGGGGGUGGAUGAGCCCGCGUUGGAUUAGCUAGUUGGUGGGGUAAAGGCCUACCAAGGCGACGAUCCAUAGCUGGUCUGAGAGGAUGAUCAGCCACAUUGGGACUGAGACACGGCCCAAACUCCUACGGGAGGCAGCAGUGGGGAAUAUUGGACAAUGGGCGCAAGCCUGAUCCAGCCAUGCCGCGUGAGUGAUGAAGGCCUUAGGGUUGUAAAGCUCUUUCACCGGUGAAGAUAAUGACGGUAACCGGAGAAGAAGCACCGGCUAACUACGUGCCAGCAGCCGCAGUAA
rnacentral:rRNA from 1 species